UUGCAGGCCCUGGGGAAUGGAAUGUGACAUGCACACUUUCCAUAACUACACCAUCCCUAGAUUUGCUAAUGAUGAUGACAUGGUUAUAUAUGACUGGAAAAGUUGGGGCUGUGUGUUGAAAAUACACUUCCAAUCUGCUUUCAAACCUGCCUUGGAUCUGUAAGUCGUAACAUUAUUAAUAAUGUUUGGGGCUUUUACCUUUAAAAUCAUGUGUAUUGACAGUAACAGGAUACAAGAAAUUACACCAAGUGUGAAUGGAUAAUGUCAUCUUAUUCUCUGAAGAUAUGAUGGAGACAAAUUUGUCAAAACUGUUGACGCUAACUUCGUUGUCUCUGAGAUGUUUGGUCGUACGGACUACUCUUAUAAUACAACCAUGCGGCAGGUUGGUUGCUUUCGCGAGGCGCAGACCAGGGAUAAAAUGCUGAAUCUGCCCCUACAACAGACAUGGGGCCCAGGGGUAAGUACAACGAACUCAUAGUAGGGAGAAAACUCCCCAGUCAGUAGUCGACUAGAACAGAGCAGAUCUGGGUCU
rnacentral:lncRNA from 1 species